CAGAAUGGCUGAACAGGAGAAGACUGGACUUUGAAGCCACAUACCUGGUUCAAAGCUAGAAUGUUCACUUUUACUAGCUGAAGGAGCAGCAGCGGCUUCCCCUUCUCCUACACCGGGCUACUGUCACCUCCUCUACCAAGGGCGUGGUGAAACCCAGGUGACCUGGCAUGGGGAGACAUACUGCCUGGUUGGUGGCUACCGGUCUUAUGGGGAUGCACCUGUGGCCACCCCAGAAAAGGUGGAAGCAGAGAAGCCAGUCCCCAGGCGGGCUCCCAAGAGACAUGCAACUUCAGCGUCAGACCAAGAGCUAGGCUGCCCCCCGCCCAAACUUCGGCGGCUGCAACAUCGUGGCAAGAGGCUGACCCCACAGAAGCUUGCUGGCCAUGCCACUUGUGUAAGGAGGGCACGGGUUUAAGUGCCUAAAAUAGCUAACGCCUCUCCCUGCACUGACCCAGCCCUGCCAUUGCCCACCACAGGAGACUGGAACCGGAGCUGCCCUGAAUGAGCCUUCCUCAAGAGACCCAGAAGAGCUGCUCCCAGAGAAGGAACAAAAUGGAAAGAGUUGAGCAGCACCUCCAACGGAGGCCCACAGGCUUCUUUAUUCCCAGCCCUUCCUGACCCCAGUAUGGCCUCGUAGCGUAAAUAAAAUGGUUUUCUGUUA